rnacentral:lncRNA from 1 species
CCCCAGCAAACUGAGAAUCUAAGACUAGGGGCCAAGACACCUCUUAUCCAGGAACUGGGAAAAUUUCUAGGUUGGUUGUUCUUCCUUGGACAGGCUUUUCAUCAAGUGACAAAAUACAGUGUAAAGAUUAAGAGUGGCCUUAAGGCAAAAGUCCUAGAACCUGGACCUGGAGAGACCUCAUCAAGAUAGCAGCAUAAGCAAACUCUGAACUCAUCUCCUCCCAUGAACACUACCAGGUUACAACUAUUUUUGGAAAAAUUACCCUGGGUAGAAAACUGGACAAAAAGAACCCCCACAACAAGGGACAGUCCUGACUAAGGCAGAAGAGGCAGAAAUUCCUGCUGGAGAGAAAAAAGUCACCUUCGAGAGCAGCAGAGUUUCUCAGCUGGCCAGGAGGGAGCCACCCUAAGAUCCUCAAACAGUACUACUCUGGUGACUUCUGCAAUGUUCCAUCCUCAGGCCUGGAUGCCCUGGAGCAAAGCAACUGAGCCGCAGACUCACUUCACAGAGGAGGAAGACCACAUGGGUACAAAAACCAAAAAGGAAAAGCAAAAGCAGCAGUCCCAUUCACCAUCACUCCAAGGAUCUACUGAGUCAUUUUUCUUCUCAUGUUCUACCUUAUGCCGUUUCUCUCUGCUAUUGACCCAGAUGAACUCAUGAUUUUCCCGGGCAUAGUGAUGUACUUGCAGCCCCUCAAUGUCCUCAGCCUGCCUCAAGAAGCUAAUUACCAAGUAUGAAAAGUAAGUGCCUAGAGGAACCCAGACUGACCAGGAAGACCAGGACUCAGAUCUGUUCCUUUGCAUUGGAGGCUCACUGGAUCCAGGCUGACAGAAACCUGGGUGACUCUAUCCUACCCGUGCUGGCACAGGGGCUAGUGUUAUUAACUCUGACACCACUCAGCCAAUCCUUCGUUUGGCAUCUGCUCUUUCCAUUUCGUUUUAAACUUUCUCUUUCCUUGCUUUAACGUUAAUCACUUCCGGACAGAACUCCCAGAAGUGGUGGUGGCUUCCUAACUUUCCCUGACUUGUAUUUUUCAUAACAUACUGUUUGAAAUCACCACCUUGCCUUAUAAAAUCACAUAUAUGCUGGUAAGUUCAAUUAUAUGCAGGACAGCCACAUGGAUAUGGGAUCAUUGCCAUUUUACAUUGGCACUGAAAUAGCCUUUCCAACUCCCUUUAGGAUACCCUCUCUGCAUCCUAUUUUGAGUUACAUGAUCUAAAAAGCCUUUAAUAUUACUCUCUACUACCUGAUGCCCUAAUUUUAUUAACUAGCAAGUUGGUUAACAUUGCAAAUGAAGGAAAUCAGUUUCCUCUAAGACCAACACCUCAGGUGUAUUCCGCUGGGCUGUUUAACUAUUAGGAUUCUUUUUGGUUGCAAGCGACAGAAAACCCAAGCUGUAAUUGUCUUAAGACAGUCAGGAAUACAU